AUUUUAGUUUUUGAAUGCAAAAGUAAACAUGCAAAUGCAGUGAUUCAAUUGGCUAAAAGAAACUAUGGAUGAAUGAAGUUGUUGGGGUUUACAAUUUCAUCUUAUCCACCCUCAUAUAUCUACUCUUCUUAUUUAAUUCGCUUAUUUAUCAUAUUGUCAUGCAAACUUUCUUAGUCUACCCUUAACCCAAUCUCUUGGCGAAAAGAGCCUAUUACUAAUUACCGGCUUGCUAUCUCUAGCCUCCCCUAGUAACUAAUAAUGCAUGAUAAACGGAAGCAAAAUACAAUUGAUCGUCCUACCCCUAUCUCUAGGCGGUAUUGCUUAAUCAAGUAAUUCCCC
rnacentral:lncRNA from 1 species